rnacentral:tRNA from 1 species
CCUGGUGGCUCAGAGGUUAAAGCGUCUGCCUGCAAUGCGGGAGACCUGGGUUCGAUCCCUAGGUCAGGA